UCCAACUCGGCCUCCCUCCCUCCGGUGUAAUGUCAAUACUAGCGAUGCCGCUGCUUUUCUCUUAUUCUCUGCUUUCAAGGCGCGAGUGUUGCUUGUUUGUAGAGCGCCAUCUAGCGACGUAAGGUUGAAAAUCACCCUCGUCCUAUCUCUACCCUGGAGGAUUUACAAGGGGCUUUCAUGGAUUCCGUCCUUACUUCCAUGCCAUCAAGUCUUAUUCGACUCCCACCGAGCACAGGAAUAGCUUUCGUCCAUGACGAUCUAUGCUGUACCUUUUUUUUCAGGUCUCCCAAGAGGGCACAUCCAGGGGAACUGAACCAAGGAAAUCAUCCGUGGAGAGAACACAAUGUGCCAUCAGGCAGAGACAAAGUGCACCUCCCUUGAGGAUCCGUGAAGACUAUUCCAUCCAGCUCUUUCUCUUGGGGUGCAGGAUAACUCUCCAAAACUAUAUUUGCAACUGAGGGAAGCUUGAAGAGUGAUGCUUUCCCCUAUUCACAAGAUUAGGCAGUUGCUGCAUCAUAAAAGUUGAUAAAGGUCUUGUUUGUAGGUGCAGCCUUAAACAAUUGCCACGGGGUGGUUACAUCUGGCCGGCGGGGCUGGCCUGGAAACAGCAAAGGACUGGCCUGUGGUGACUUUGCCAGCAAAAAUGGAGCUCGAGCGGAUCUACAGGUUAAACUACAGGUGCCCUCGACACAAUUGAGGAGUGGUGUUGAGGUGGCCACACACCCCCUGAGGUCAAACAACACCCCCGAUGUGGCCCUCAAUGAAAUUGAGUUUGACACCCCUGCUUAUAGGAAAAAUAAGAAGAGGGAAAAGUGGAAUGGCUCAUUUACACAGAAAUCCAAAAGGCCCAUUAAAAUAAGCUGUCCAGGCCCAAAACGGGGACUCCAGGAGGCCAUUCUUGACUCACAAGGUUAUAAAAGGGAGGAAAGGUUAAAUAUUUUACCUUUCAGGCUUGCAGGAUUCUGCUACUAUAACCUAUGCCAAUAAUUUAUAGUUCUAGUUUCUUGAUCUGGUCUCUCUCUCAUAAGGUGAUCAAGUAGAUCAAGUAAUAUUAAAAAAAAACAAAAUCAGAAAUGUACACCUCUCUAUUUUUAUAAGUUUAUAAAACAAUGUGUGUGGAGCUGUGGUCUCAUGUCACGCCCACUAUGGCCACGCCUAUCCCCCACCCAACAUGCACCCUCUGAGGUCAAACACAACCCUGAUGCGGCCCUCAAUGAAAUUGAGUCUGACAUCCCUGCUCUAGAAGUUGUGGGUGCUCCAUCAGUGGAGGUUUUUAAAAGGAGAUUGGACAGCCAAUUGUCUGGAACUGUCGAGGUCAGAUACCCCUCGACACCACACAUCUUAACAGCAUGGAUACCACACACCUUAACAGCAUAGAAGACCAUAAGGGGGGGGGGAAUACCAUUGGAGAAUCCGGAAUGUCUGAACAAAAUCCAACAAUGAACCACGGUGGAGGAGGGUGUUGCGUUAGGACAACAACACACUGAUAGUGGGUGAUGGUCGGAACACAAGAGGGGGUGGGGGUUGGACUAAGAAGCAGCGUCUGAGGGAGUGAGUAUGAGGAGAAGACUGACGUCAAGGGGCUGCGACCCAACGGCAAAGGAAUAAAACGAAACAAGUGGCGGAUUGGAUUGUAACAGCUAAAAGAGAUUGCCUGCUGGGCUGUUAACGAUGUCCAUGCCCUAUAACGCCCCAUAAAACUAGCCAGGCAGAGAGCAGAGGCGUCUCCGACUUUGAUUCACUAUGCAGCUCAGUGCCUACUGUUCGUCGCUGUAGUUGCUUUCAUUAAACCAGGUUUUGGAACUGAA